rnacentral:rRNA from 1 species
GACGAACGCUGGCGGCGUGCCUAAUACACGCAAGUCGAGCGAAUCACUGGGAGCUUGCUCCUGGUGGUUAGCGGCGGACGGGUGAGUAACACGUGGGCAACCUGCCUGUAAGACUGGGAUAACACCGGGAAACCGGUGCUAAUACCGGAUAAUCCUUUCCCUCUCAUGAGGGAAAGCUGAAAGUCGGUUUCGGCUGACACUUACAGAUGGGCCCGCGGCGCAUUAGCUAGUUGGUGAGGUAACGGCUCACCAAGGCGACGAUGCGUAGCCGACCUGGGAGGGUGAUCGGCCGCACUGGGACUGAGACACGGCCCAGACUCCUACGGGAGCAGCAGUAGGGAAUCUUCCAUAAUGGACGAAAGUCUGAUGGAGCAACGCCGCGUGAGCGAUGAAGGCCUUCGGGUCGUAAAGCUCUGUUGUUAGGGAAGAACAAGUACGAGAGGAAAUGCUCGUACCUUGACGGUACCUUACGAGAAAGCCACGGCUAACUACGUGCCAGCAGCCGCCGAAAAAC